CAAUCAGCCCUUUUCAGGGCCACAAAUAUUUUCUACAAGGAACAC
rfam:Nasonia vitripennis chromosome 5 unlocalized genomic scaffold Chr5_random003, whole genome shotgun sequence.